CGCGGGUUCACAACAGCAGUAGGGCCGGAUCCUCUAGGAACCCACGUUUGGCGAGCAUGUUGGUUGGGGAAUCUACUAGUCCUAUCCCUUUGAUCAUUUCGGGAUGGAAAGCUCAUACUCUGACAAGAAAGAUGACUACAACUCGUAUCCUCCACCGCUGAUGAGCAAGAAACUUUGAUCCAAGUAAUACGCAGCUCUGUCUCUGCAAGUUUUUCUCUUUUAUUCCUGAUUUACUACUCAAGUUUCCGAUUUGUUUGGAGAUAUAUAAG
rnacentral:misc_RNA from 1 species